UUAAAGGAAUUGACGGGACCGCACAAGCGGUGGAUGAUGUGGAUUAAUUCGAUGCAACGCGAAAACCUUACCUACCCUUGACAUGUCCGGAAUCCCGAAGAGAUUUGGGAGUGCUCGCAAGAGAACCGGAACACAGGUGCUGCAUGGCUGUCGUCAGCUCGUGUCGUGAGAUGUUGGGUUAAGUCCCGCAACGAGCGCAACCCUUGUCAUUAGUUGCCAUCAUUUGGUUGGGCACUCUAAUGAGACUGCCGGUGACAAACCGGAGGAAGGUGGGGAUGACGUCAAGUCCUCAUGGCCCUUAUGGGUAGGGCUUCACACGUCAUACAAUGGUCGGUACAGAGGGUUGCCAACCCGCGAGGGGGAGCCAAUCCCAUAAAGCCAUUCGUAGUCCGGAUCGCAGUCUGCAACUCGACUGCGUGAAGUCGGAAUCGCUAGUAAUCGUGGAUCAGAAUGUCACGGUGAAUACGUUCCCGGGUCUU
rnacentral:rRNA from 1 species